GAUGAACGCUGGCGGCGUGCUUAACACAUGCAAGUCGAACGAAGCACUUUAUUACAAUUUCUUCGGAAUGACGAUUUAGUGACUGAGUGGCGGACGGGUGAGUAACGCGUGGGUAACCUGCCUUAUACAGGGGGAUAACAGUUAGAAAUGACUGCUAAUACCGCAUAAGCGCACAGGAUUGCAUGAUCUGGUGUGAAAAACUCCGGUGGUAUAAGAUGGACCCGCGUCUGAUUAGCUGGUUGGUGAGGUAACGGCCCACCAAGGCGACGAUCAGUAGCCGACCUGAGAGGGUGACCGGCCACAUUGGGACUGAGACACGGCCCAAACUCCUACGGGAGGCAGCAGUGGGGAAUAUUGCACAAUGGGGGAAACCCUGAUGCAGCGACGCCGCGUGAGCGAAGAAGUAUUUCGGUAUGUAAAGCUCUAUCAGCAGGGAAGAAAAAAAUGACGGUACCUGACUAAGAAGCCCCGGCUAACUACGUG
rnacentral:rRNA from 1 species